AGAAUCAUGCCUUUUUUGCACAUUUUCCCUUGAUUGGGAAAAGGAAGAGGAGCAAGGAGAAAAAGGAAUAACUAGUGGUCAAGUGCUUUUCUUUAAACUACUCCCAAGGAAACAGCAGGUGGUGGUGGAGAUUCAGGAGAGUCUUCCUGCAGAAGACAGCAUCUAAGAAGCAUCUUAAAGGAAGAGGGGGCUCUUUGAGAUGGAGGAACAAUGGCAGAUUUGAAAAUAAAUUUUCAGUGAAGAGAAUUGCUAUCAUCUUAAAAGAUAAUUGGCAUGAUGAAGCAUACUGGUUCUGUGUGAUCCUGGACAUCAGUUGA
rnacentral:lncRNA from 1 species